rnacentral:rRNA from 1 species
UACGUAGGGGGCUAGCGUUGUCCGGAUUUAUUGGGCGUAAAGAGCGUGUAGGCGGCCAGGUAGGUCCGGUGUGAGAACUCGAGGCUUAACCUCGAGAUGUCAUCGGAAACCAUCUGGCUAGAGUCCGGAAGAGGAAAGUGGAAUUCCUGGUGUAGCGGUGAAAUGCGCAGAUAUCAGGAAGAACACCAAUGGCGAAAGCAGCUUUCUGGGACGGUACUGACGCUGAGACGCGAAAGCGUGGGGAGCGAACAGG